GAGUUUGAUCAUGGCUCAGGACGAACGCUGGCGGCGUGCCUAAUACAUGCAAGUCGAGCGGAUCUUCAUUAGCUUGCUUUUGAAGAUCAGCGGCGGACGGGUGAGUAACACGUGGGCAACCUGCCUGUAAGACUGGGAUAACUUCGGGAAACCGGAGCUAAUACCGGAUAAUCCUUUCCCUCACAUGAGGGAAAGCUGAAAGACGGUUUCGGCUGUCACUUACAGAUGGGCCCGCGGCGCAUUAGCUAGUUGGUGAGGUAACGGCUCACCAAGGCAACGAUGCGUAGCCGACCUGAGAGGGUGAUCGGCCACACUGGGACUGAGACACGGCCCAGACUCCUACGGGAGGCAGCAGUAGGGAAUCUUCCGCAAUGGACGAAAGUCUGACGGAGCAACGCCGCGUGAACGAUGAAGGCUUUCGGGUCGUAAAGUUCUGUUGUCAGGGAAGAACAAGUACCGGAGUAACUGCCGGUACCUUGACGGUACCUGACCAGAAAGCCACGGCUAACUACGUGCCAGCAGCCGCGGUAAUACGUAGGUGGCAAGCGUUGUCCGGAAUUAUUGGGCGUAAAGCGCGCGCAGGCGGUUCCUUAAGUCUGAUGUGAAAGCCCCCGGCUCAACCGGGGAGGGUCAUUGGAAACUGGGGAACUUGAGUGCAGAAGAGGAGAGCGGAAUUCCACGUGUAGCGGUGAAAUGCGUAGAGAUGUGGAGGAACACCAGUGGCGAAGGCGGCUCUCUGGUCUGUAACUGACGCUGAGGCGCGAAAGCGUGGGGAGCGAACAGGAUUAGAUACCCUGGUAGUCCACGCCGUAAACGAUGAGUGCUAAGUGUUAGAGGGUUUCCGCCCUUUAGUGCUGCAGCAAACGCAUUAAGCACUCCG
rnacentral:rRNA from 1 species